GGGCCCGUGGUGUAGUGGCAACACGUUUGCUUCAUAAGCAGAUGGUCAUGGGUUCGAUCCCAGCCCCG
rnacentral:tRNA from 1 species